GCUGGAACAAGAUAAGGUUGAAGAGACAGGUGUCAUGACUAAAGUGUUUCAGUUUGAAAACAUGCUGUCUUAAAGUGUGAGAAGAAUUGCAAACCAAUUCAGAGCAGCACUGGCAUUUCUUUUUAGAACAAGUGGUGCAGUUAUGUUGUCAAUGAGUUGAACACUCGAGGAAGUUUACAUUUCUGGACUCUUGGGAACAUUUAAGAUAAACUUGAGUGAUUCUGCUGAUGCUGGAGAUCCAGAAUCCAGAGCAACACCCACAAGAUGCUGAAGGAACACGGCAGAAGCAGAAGAAAACUAUUACUUUGAAGACAACACAAGUUGGAAAAGAAUCAAGGCCCGCCACCAUGAAAGAGCCUCGGGCUCAAGUGCAAUUUACCUCCGGCGAUACAGAACAGGAAACUGCGGCAACAUCAACCAUUUCCAAAGAAAAAGAGCAACAGGAAUUGUGCAUGCGUAAAGGAAGGGGCAUACGCAAACACGAGCAACCCAAACUACAAAUCCCAGCUAUGAUCAGAACUGAAAGUGAAAGUGAAUAUGAGGUGGAAUCAGAUUCUCUGGAUAAAUCAGACGAAGAUGAAGAGACAAACAAAGAAGAGCAACAGAAAGAGGUUGGAGGUGAUAUUGGAGACAUUAAAAAAUCUUUGGUGCAAAUAGUGCAUGAAUUAAAAGCAUUAAAAGUAAUAAAAAAAAUAAAAAUAUGAAGAUUAUGUUUGAUAAAAUGAUGAAAAGAGGACAAAAUGGACAAGAAAAUUAAAAACUUGGAAGAAACAAUGGGGGACACCAUUGACAGAGUGAAUAAAAUGGAAGAUAAUAUUUCUGACUGGACAUCAGAAAGAAAAUGGUUGUUGGAAAAGUGGAUGUACUUGAAAAUUUUAGCAGACAAAAUAAUAUUAAGAUUGUUGGACUUAAAGAAGGUAUAGAGGGAGAGGAUCCAAUAAAUUUUUUUUCAAAAAUGGAUCCCGGAAAAUUUGGAAAUGGAAGAAGGAACCCAGUUAAUUGAAGUUGAAAGUGCUCACAGAGCCUUAAGACCAAGACCUCAAGUUGAUCAAAACCCACAAUCAAUCCUGAUAAAAUGCUUAAGAUAUCAAGAUAAAGAAAAGAUCCUGAAGGCGGCUGCCCAACGUGCCAGAAAGAGAAACGGGCCAUUGAUGAUAGAAGGGAAAACAGUUCUUUUCUACCCUGAUAUAAGUUAUAACCUUUUGAAGAGAAAGAAGGAAUUUAACCCAGUGAAAAAACUUUUAUGGGAAAAGGGUUAUAAAUUCAUACUGUGCCACCCGGCAACCUUGAUAAUUUUUUUGGAUGAUGGAAAAAGAAGAUCUUUUACUGAUUAUCGGAAUGUGGGAGAAUUUGCACAAGGACUCCCAAAUAUUCACUAAACACAGCCAAAAAUUUAAAAGUGAAAUGGAUUAAAGAUGAAGACAAGGACAGUGAAUGGUGUUGAUGGAUGUUUAAGGACAGAAGAAUAUUUAAAUAUAUUCUAAAUUAUAUGAUACAGGGGGAGAAAGGGAGGAGGUACAGGAACCUAAAAACGCACACAAAAUGAAUCAGGAACAGCUUCUUCCCUUCGGCCAUCAAAUUUCUGAAUGGACACUGAACCCAUGAACACGACCUCACUACAUUUUUUCUUUC